rnacentral:rRNA from 1 species
UUAACUGGGAGGGAAGGGGGGAUGACGUCAAAUCAUCAUGCCCCUUAUGACCUGGGCUACACACGUGCUACAAUGGACGGUACAAAGAGCUGCAAGACCGCGAGGUGGAGCUAAUCUCAUAAAACCGUUCUCAGUUCGGAUUGUAGGCUGCAACUCGCCUACAUGAAGCUGGAAUCGCUAGUAAUCGCGGAUCAGCAUGCCGCGGUGAAUACGUUCCCGGGCCUUGUACACACCGCCCGUCACACCACGAGAGUUUGUAACACCCGAAGUCGGUGGGGUAACCUUUUUGGAGCCAGCCGC